AGAAUCAGCGGGGAAAGAAGACCCUAUUGAGCUUGACUCUAGUCCGACUCUGUGAAGAGACAUGGCAGGUGUAGUAAUUAGUGGGAGGCGGGAAUCGCCCUGCGGGGUCUCUCGUUCGACACUGAAAGACCACUACCAUCCUUGUUUCUUUAGUUUUUCAGUGAAGCGGGACCUGUCAAUUAUUUUCCAUGUUGAAAUUUAACACACGUUAGUGCAUUGUUCGCACCCCGUGUGUGGCUGGCGUGUCCGCGUCUUGGUCGCAACUGUCUGGCCAGGGCUAGUGAUAUGCGUGUUUUUCCCUUAACUGCCUGUAGGUUGUUGCCACAAGGUGGUAUUCCAUAGCUGGUAGACGGUGGGCGUGUGUGUCCCGUCUUGUUGAUAUCAGGCAAAUUUGGCGAAGUGCGACCCGACCUGAAGACAGUGUCAGGCGGGAGUUUGACUGGGGCGAUGCAUCUGUCAAAUCGUAACGCAGGUGUCCCAAGGUGAGCUCAGCCAGGACAGAAACCUGGCGUAGAGUAAAAGGGCUAAAGCUUACUUAAUUUUGAUUUUCAGUACGAAAACAGACCGUGAAAGCGUGGCAUAGCGAUCCUUUUGAUCAACCGAUAUUCAAGUGGCCAAGCGUUCAUAGCGACGUCGAUUUUUGAUCCACCGCUGUCGGCUCUUCCUAUCAUUGUGCAGCAGAAUUCACCAAGCGUUGGAUGGUUCACCCACUAAAAGGGAACGUGAGCAAGGUUUCGACCAUCGUGAGAUAGGUUAUUUUUACCCUACUGAUGGUUGAACUGCGUAAACAGUGAAGUGCAAUCUGGUCGUUGCAAUUGUAAUUCUGUUUAUUACGAGAGGAACCACGGGUUCAGACAUUUGGUACAUGUGCCUGGUCGAGCGGCCAAUGGUGCGAAGCUACCAUCUGAGGGAUUAAGACUGAACGCCUCUAAGUCUGAAUCCCGUCCAGAGAUGCGCAACGAUACAGUUUGGCCUGCCACGUGGUUGGGCAGAUAUAGUACUUUCCGGUCAGGUUUCAUUCGGAUGGGGUCAUCGUGCCCUACCGAACCUGGUCGGUCUGGAAUUGUUAUGCCAGAGCUGUGACCAUAACCACAUGCAUCGGGCCAUGUUGUUGUGGGGUCGAUACGAUAUCCGAUUGUGGUGUGAGCGUGGUGGCACUAAAUCGUGUGUAGACGACUUAAUGUUUUGUCGGGGAGACGUGAGUAUUCGAGCAGCUAUCACACGGCGAGGUAUUAAUUCCUAUCCCUAUCCGACGUAAGGAUUU
rnacentral:ncRNA from 1 species